UAGCCAGUAAGUUGUGAGAUAUGUGAAGUUAAUUUUUUAAGAAAUAGUUCCUGGCAUUAAUUUUAUAGGAUUUAACUGUUUAUGAAAGAGCUCUCAAAGAACAAGGAAGUGCUGAUGUAGCGUAUGCUCGUCUUAUGUUACUGGGAUCAGCUGGUACUGGCAAGACAUCUCUCAAGCGUUCAUUAAUGGAAGAACCUUUCAAUCCUCAUACUACAAGCACCAUUGUAUCUGAUGUAUCCUCUGUACGACCAUUUGGACAUGAGUGGCAAACAAUGAAAGAAAAAAAAUGGAGAGAAGCCACAGAAGAAGAUGAAAUUGAAGAACUUGCACAUUUGCUUGGAUCCAGUCAUUCUAAACCAUCGUCACACCAUGCACUUAAAUCACUCUCACGAUAUUUUUAUGAUGCAUUUUUUUCUAUUCGUUCUGAAGUUUCCAUUGUAAAUGUAGAUAGUGGUAUCAAA